AACGAACGCUGGCGGCAUGCCUAACACAUGCAAGUCGAACGAGACCUUCGGGUCUAUUGGCGCACGGGUGCGUAACGCGUGGGAACCUGCCUUUAGGUUCGGAAUAACUCAGAGAAAUUUGAGCUAAUACCGGAUGAUGUCUUCGGACCAAAGAUUUAUCGCCUUUAGAUGGGCCCGCGUUGGAUUAGCUAGUUGGUGGGGUAAAGGCCUACCAAGGCGACGAUCCAUAGCUGGUCUGAGAGGAUGAUCAGCCACACUGGGACUGAGACACGGCCCAGACUCCUACGAGAGGAAGCAGUGGGGAAUAUUGGAAAACGGGCGAAAGCCUGACACAGCAAUGCAGCGUGAGUGAUGAAGGCCUUAGGGUUGUAAAGAUAUUUUAACCGAGAUGAUAAUGACAGUCUCGGGAGAAUAAGCCACGGCUAACUACGUG
rnacentral:rRNA from 1 species